rnacentral:rRNA from 1 species
CGGUUGAUCCUGCCGGAGACUACCACUAUCAGGAUUCGACUAAGCCAUGCGAGUCAUUGUCAUAAGUGCAAGGCGAACUGCUCAGUAACACGUAGUUAACCUACCCUUAAGUGGAGUAUAACCUCGCGAAAGUGAGGAUAAUACUCCAUAGGUGAAGAGGGCUGGAAAGCCUCUUCACCAAAAGUCGCAAGACGCUUAAGGAUGGGACUGCGGGAGAUUAGCUUGUUGUUAGGAUAAUUGCCUAACAAAGCUAUAAUCUCUACGGGUCGUGAGAGCGAUAGCCCGGAGAUGGCUUCUGAGACAUGAAGCCAGGCUCUACGGAGCGCAGCAGGUACGAAACCUUUCCAAUGCACGAAAGUGUGAGAAGGGAAUCCUGAGUGGGUUCGCAUUAGCGAACUCUUUUCUGGAGUCUAAAUAGCUCCAAGAAUAAGUGGUGGGUAAGACGGUUGCCAGCCGCCGCGGUAAUAACCGCGCCACAAGUGGUAGUCACGUUUAUUGGGCCUAAAGCGUCCGUAGCUGGUUUGAUGAGUCUCUGGUGAAAUCCUAUAGCAAACUAUAGGGCUCGCUAGAGAUACUAUCAGACUUGGAGCCGGGAGAAGUUGAGGGUAUACCACGGGUAGGGGUAAAAUCCUUUAAUCCGUGGUGGACCACCUGUGGCGAAGGCGCUCAACUGGAACGGGCUCGACAGUGAGGGACGAAAGCUUGGGGAGCGACCGGGAUUAGAUACCCCGUUAGUCCAAGCUGUAAACAAUGCCCGCUUGGUGUUACGGAUUCUUCGGGAAUCCGUAGUGCCGUAGCGAAGGUGUUAAGCGGGCCGCCCGGGGAGUAUGCUCGCAAGAGUGAAACUUAAAGGAAUUGGCGGGGGAGCAC